rnacentral:rRNA from 1 species
CUGCAGUGGGGCGCAGCAUGCGGGAGAAUAGUGGGGGUGCGAGGGGUGGCCGGGAGAAGUGGGGGUAAAGGGCGCGGAGGAGGUUCGGGAGGUGGCUGGUGAAAUCGCGGGUGUCAACGCCGGGGCGGCAGGCACGACGGCCGGACGUGAGCACGGUAGGGGCAGAUGGAAGUCCCGGUGUAGCGGUGGAAUGCGUAGAGAUCGGGAAGAAUACCAGUGGCGAAGGCGUUCUGCUGGGCCGUUGCUGUCGCUGAGGCGCGACAGCGUGGGGAGCAAACAGGAUUAGAUACCCCAGUAGUC